AUUGAACGCUGGCGGCAGGCCUAACACAUGCAAGUCGAGCGGAUGGAGGGAGCUUGCUCCUGGAUUCAGCGGCGGACGGGUGAGUAAUGCCUAGGAAUCUGCCUGGUAGUGGGGGAUAACGUCCGGAAACGGGCGCUAAUACCGCAUACGUCCUGAGGGAGAAAGUGGGGGAUCUUCGGACCUCACGCUAUCAGAUGAGCCUAGGUCGGAUUAGCUAGUUGGUGGGGUAAAGGCCUACCAAGGCGACGAUCCGUAACUGGUCUGAGAGGAUGAUCAGUCACACUGGAACUGAGGCACGGUCCAGACUCCUACGGGAGGCAGCAGUGGGGAAUAUUGGACAAAGGGCGAAAGCCUGAUCCAGCCAUGCCGCGUGUGUGAAGAAGGUCUUCGGAUUGUAAAGCACUUUAAGUUGGGAGGAAGGGCAGUAAGUUAAUACCUUGCUGUUUUGACGUUACCAACAGAAUAAGCACCGGCUAACUUCGUG
rnacentral:rRNA from 1 species